AAACAUCUUUUCUUGUUAGUUUUUGAAGUAUGGCCUGCCCGCUGACGUUUGUUGAAGGGCCGCGGUAUUUUGACCGUGCAAAGGUAGCAUAAUCAUUAGUUCUUUAAUUGUGAUCUGGAAUGAAUGGCUUGACGAGACAUGAGCUGUCUUAGUGUUGGAUAUUUUAUUGAAUUUGGUCUUUGAGUUAAAAUUCUUAAAUGUUUUUAUGGGACGAGAAGACCCUAUAGAGUUUGACAUUUUGGCUUACUUAUUUGUUGUUGUUUGUUUAUUUUAUUGGUGAGUGGGUUUUUUGUUUUGUUGGGGUGAUGAGAGGAAUUAUUUAACUCCUCUUAGUUUUGGUUAUAUUGAUUUAUAUUUAUUUGAUCCAUUUAUUUUGAUUAUAAGAUUAAAUUACCUUAGGGAUAACAGCGU
rnacentral:rRNA from 1 species